rnacentral:lncRNA from 1 species
UCAUCCCGCACGAAGCCUGGUCCAAGGUGGGGCGGGCGUUCGGAGGUCAGCCCAGCUCGUGAUGAGAGAGCACGGCCGCGCUCCCCAGGCUCUCUGACCUCACUGCACCAUUUGUACUUUUGGCAAGUGUCACUUGUCAAGACUCAGACUUUGAUUCAGCAACCAGGAAACCAUGAGGAAUGUGACUGAGGAAAGCAUACAAGAAGAGAUCUUCGGCCUAGUUUUCAAUCUCCGAGUAAUGCGACGGGUAAACUUAGGGCACUCCAUGAUGUUCACACAAGGACGAAAUCACCUAACAACGCAUUUCUCAGAACGUGUCCCCGUCCUUAAUUGACG